CAGGACUGAUGGAAUUCAAAAAUAAUUGAAUAAGAUGUAGAAGUAUGUUUAAUUACUGUUGAAAAUGAUAUGUUAAAAAACUAAUAAAAAUUUGUGUGUGUGUGUGUGUGUGUGUGUGUGUAAAGGUAAAGGGACCCCUGACCAUUUGGUCCAGUCGUGACCGACUCUGG